UACGGGGGGGGCAAGCGUUGUUCGGAAUUACUGGGCGUAAAGGGCGCGUAGGCGGCACUGCAAGUCAGUUGUGAAAUCUCCGGGCUUAACCCGGAAAGGUCAACUGAUACUGCAGGGCUAGAGUGCAGAAGGGGCAACUGGAAUUCUCGGUGUAGCGGUGAAAUGCGUAGAUAUCGAGAGGAACACCUGCGGCGAAGGCGGGUUGCUGGGCUGACACUGACGCUGAGGCGCGAAAGCCAGGGGAGCGAACGGG
rnacentral:rRNA from 1 species